AAGACGACCGAGGGUGCGAAUAAUUCACAACCGGUAGGGAUCAUACCAACAAGCGAGAAGGGUGAAAACAGCGCAAAAGUGACUGGUGAAAAAGAUACAAACAGCAGGAAAGAAGAUGUAAGUUCUUCAGAUCAGGAAACAAGCUCCAAAGAUGAUAAACCAAACGGACAGGAUGACGGAAGCAUUGGCGACGAUUGGUCUCUCGUUUCCAUUGAAGGUAAUACAGCUCAUAUUUGAAUAAAAUAUUUUACGUUUGCUAACAAUAUAAUCUAUCACCAUCAUUUAUUCAAAAGUUGCAGCAGUACUUCAUCCUAAAUGCAUGGCUAAAUUCUUCAUAUGUGAUUAACCUUAAUAAUAUUAUUUUCUGCAUUGAUUAUGCAUUACAUUUAUGAAUUUGUUAAUGGAAAAUUUGAGAGGGAUUUUUCUUCGGAGAGUUAAAAUUGUUUUUCUUGCAGAGGAAGCAAAUGAAGAAUUGCUCCAUCAAACUGCAAUGCAAAAAGCGGUUCCAGCGUGUCCGCGCGAAAU